AUGAGGAGAAAAUUAAGAGGCAUGGAGGAGAGGUGGGCGAGCGGGAAGGGCUGGGGCGUCGCCCACGACAUCGAGCUUGACGGCGGCCUUGCGGCGGCACAGUCGGCGAGGAGCUGUCGGAUCUCGCAGGAUCCGGUGGGAAAUGGAGCGCUGGCGGCAGAUCUGAAGGCGGCCGGAGCUUGGAGCACGACGGCUGGCGGGCGCGGCAUGGCCGACGCUGAUGAGAGAAGAGAGAGAUGA
rnacentral:rRNA from 1 species